AACCGCCGUAUACGGAACCGUACGUACGGUGGUGUGAGAGGUCGGCGGGGUGACCCGCCUCCUACUCGAU
rfam:Lactobacillus vini DSM 20605 Scaffold144, whole genome shotgun sequence.